UCCGGGUUAACCCCGGCAGUCUCCUUAGAGUGCCCAACUUAAUGCUGGCAACUAAGAAUAGGGGUUGCGCUCGUUGCGAGACUUAACCCAACAUUUCACAACACGAGCUGACGACAGCCAUGCAGCGCCUGUCUCCGAGCUCCCUUGCGGGCACCUCUCCAUCUCUGGUGAGUUCUCGGGAUUUCAAACCCAGGUAAGGUUUUUCGCGUUGCUUCGAAUUAAACCACAUGAUCCACCGCUUGUGCGGGCCCCCGUCAAUUCCUUUGAGUUUUAGUCUUGCGACCGUACUCCUCAGGCGGAGUACUUACUGCGUUAGCGUCGUCACGGAAGCGUAACCGCUCCCAUAACUAGUACUCAUCGUUUACGGCGUGGACUAC
rnacentral:misc_RNA from 1 species